rnacentral:lncRNA from 1 species
UUUCAUGAAUACUCUAAUCGCUGCUGCUUCACGGCAAAUACGAAGCUCUGUCAUGAAAGAAUUUGCAUCAACCGACCGUCCCUAACGCAAGUGGCAAAAAUAUUUGAUGGUUGGUAUCCGAGACCCAAGUUCGAAUCCUAGUUGAUUCACAUUUCUAGUUAAGUUUAUUUCUAAAUGAAAUAAACGAAGCGGGUAGCGUACUAUCUUUUUCUUUUAAAAAAAAAAAAAAAUUGCAUCACAAGCAUUAUUUUGACGGAAUAUUCGUAAAUGCCGAGCGAAACAUUUUUAUAAU